rnacentral:rRNA from 1 species
AGAGUUUGAUCAUGGCUCAGGAUGAACGCUAGCGGGAGGCUUAAUACAUGCAAGUCGAACGGUAAGGUCCCGACCUAGUCGGGAUACACGAGUGGCGCACGGGUGAGUAACGCGUACACAACCUACCCUUAAGUGGGGAAUAGCCCCGGGAAACUGGGAUUAAUACCCCAUAAUAUUGAUUUGUUUACGGGUGAAUCAAUUAAAGUUCAGGCGCUUAAGGAUGGGUGUGCGUCCUAUUAGCUAGUUGGUGAGGUAACGGCUCACCAAGGCGACGAUAGGUAGGGGGCGUGAGAGCGUGGUCCCCCACACGGGUACUGAGACACGGACCCGACUCCUACGGGAGGCAGCAGUAAGGAAUAUUGGACAAUGGGCGAAAGCCUGAUCCAGCCAUCCCGCGUGCAGGAUGACGGCCCUAUGGGUUGUAAACUGCUUUUGCUUGGGAAGAAACCCUCACUUUUAAGUGGGGCUGACGGUACCUUGCGAAUAAGCACCGGCUAACUCCGUGCCAGCAGCCGCGGUAAUACGGAGGGUGCAAGCGUUAUCCGGAAUCACUGGGUUUAAAGGGUGCGUAGGCGGAUAAAUAAGUCAGAGGUGAAAUCCUACAGCUUAACUGUAGAACUGCCUUUGAUACUGNUUGUCUUGAAUUAGGUUAAGGUCAGCGGAAUGUGNCAUGUAGCGGUGAAAUGCUUAGAUAUGCCAUAGAACACCAAUUGCNAAGGNAGCUGACUAGGCCUUAAUUGACNCUGAGGNACGAAANCNUGGGGAGCGANCAGGAUUANANACCCUGNAGUCCACGCCCUAAACNAUGCUCACUCGAU